UGAACGCUAGCUACAGGCUUAACACAUGCAAGUCGAGGGGCAUCAGGAAUCUAGCUUGCUAGGUUGCUGGCGACCGGCGCACGGGUGAGUAACGCGUAUCCAACUUCCCUAGUAGGGCAUAGCCCGGCGAAAGUCGGAUUAAUACCCUAUGUUCUUUACGGCAGACAUCUAAUGUAAAGCAAAGAUUCAUCGCUAAGGGAUGGGGAUGCGUCCGAUUAGGUAGUCGGCGGGGUAACGGCCCACCGAGCCUUCGAUCGGUAGGGGUUCUGAGAGGAAGGUCCCCCACAUUGGAACUGAGACACGGUCCAAACUCCUACGGGAGGCAGCAGUGAGGAAUAUUGGUCAAUGGACGUAGGUCUGAACCAGCCAAGUAAGCGUGCAGGAUGACGGCCCUAUGGGUUGUAAACUGCUUUUGCCGGGGAAUAAAGUGCGGUACGUGUGCCGUUUUGUAUGUACCCGGAGAAUAAGGACCGGCUAAUUCCGUGCCAGCCGCCGC
rnacentral:rRNA from 1 species